CCUACGGGGGGCAGCAGUGAGGAAUAUUGGUCAAUGGGCGGAAGCCUGAACCAGCCAAGCCGCGUGAGGGAUGAAGGUACAGCGUAUUGUAAACUUCUUUUGUCAGGGGACAAAGGCAGGGACUAGUCCCUGGAUGAGGGUACUUGAAGAAAAAGCAUCGGCUAACUCCGUGCCAGCAGCCGCGGUAAUACGGAGGAUGCGAGCGUUAUCCGGAUUUAUUGGGUUUAAAGGGUGCGUAGGCGGCCUGUUAAGUCAGCGGUAAAAGCCCGGGGCGCAACCCCGGCGAGCCGUUGAAACUGGCUGGCUUGAGAGGGAGAGAGGUACGCGGAAUGCGCGGUGUAGCGGUGAAAUGCUUAGAUAUUGCGCAGAACCCCGAUUGCGAAGGCAGCAUACCGGCGGCGAACUGACGCUGAGGCACGAAAGCGUGGGUAUCGAACAGGAUUAGAUACCCCAGUAGUC
rnacentral:rRNA from 1 species